rnacentral:rRNA from 1 species
UUCGUGGUGUGACUGCGUACCUUUUGUAUAAUGGGUCAGCGACUUAUAUUCAGUAGCGAGGUUAACCGUAUAGGGGAGCCGUAGAGAAAUCGAGUCUUAAUAGGGCGUUUAGUUGCUGGGUAUAGACCCGAAACCAGGCGAUCUAUCCAUGAGCAGGUUGAAGGUUGGGUAACACUAACUGGAGGACCGAACCCACUGUCGUUGAAAAGCCAGGGGAUGACUUGUGGAUAGGGGUGAAAGGCUAAUCAAGCCUGGUGAUAGCUGGUUCUCCCCGAAAGCUAUUUAGGUAGCGCCUCGGACGAAUACCAUAGGGGGUAGAGCACUGUUUCGGCUAGGGGGUCAUCCCGACUUACCAAACCGAUGCAAACUCCGAAUACCUAUGAGUACUAUCCGGGAGACAGACUGCGGGUGCUAACGUCCGUAGUCAAGAGGAAAACAAUCCAGACCGCCAGCUAAGGCCCCAAAAUCAUAGUUAAGUGGGAAACGAUGUGGGAAGGCAUAGACAGCUAGGAGGUUGGCUUAGAAGCAGCCACCCUUUAAAGAAAGCGUAAUAGCUCACUAGUCGAGUCGGCCUGCGCGGAAGAUGUAACGGGGCUAAAACUAUGUGCCGAAGCUGCGGAUGUAUACUUUGUAUACGUGGUAGGGGAGCGUUCUGUAAGCCGAUGAAGGUGUGUUGAGAAGCAUGCUGGAGGUAUCAGAAGUGCGAAUGCUGACGUGAGUAACGACAAAACGGGUGAAAAACCCGUUCGCCGAAAGACCAAGGGUUCCAGUCCAACGUUAAUCGGGGCUGGGUGAGUCGACCCCUAAGGCGAGGCCGAAAGGCGUAGUCGAUGGGAAAAUGGUUAAUAUUCCAUUACUUCUGUGUAAUGCGAUGAGAGGACGGAGAAGGCUAAAUCAGCCUGGCGUUGGUUGUCCAGGUGAAAGGAUGUAGGCAUGUAUCUUAGGCAAAUCCGGGGUACUCUAUGCUGAGAUCUGAUAGCAAGCUGUACUUGUACAGCGAAGUGGUUGAUGCCAUGCUUCCAGGAAAAGUCUCUAAGCUUCAGUUACACAGGAAUCGUACCCGAAACCGACACAGGUGGUCAGGUCGAGUAGACCAAGGCGCUUGAGAGAACUCUGCUGAAGGAACUAGGCAAAAUGGUACCGUAACUUCGGGAGAAGGUACGCUGUUGUUGGUGAUGGAACUCGCUUCCUGAGCUGACGACAGCCGCAGAAACCAGGCCGCUGCAACUGUUUAUUAAAAACAUAGCACUCUGCAAACACGAAAGUGGACGUAUAGGGUGUGAUGCCUGCCCGGUGCUGGAAGGUUAAUUGAUGGGGUUAGCGUAAGCGAAGCUCUUGAUCGAAGCCCCAGUAAACGGCGGCCGUAACUAUAACGGUCCUAAGGUAGCGAAAUUCCUUGUCGGGUAAGUUCCGACCUGCACGAAUGGCAUAAUGAUGGCGGCGCUGUCUCCAGCAGAGGCUCAGUGAAAUCGAAAUCGCUGUGAAGAUGCAGUGUACCCGCGGCUAGACGGAAAGACCCCGUGAACCUUUACUGCAGCUUGACACUGAACUUUGACCUUACUUGUGUAGGAUAGGUGGGAGGCUUUGAAGCUGGAACGCUAGUUCCAGUGGAGCCGUCCUUGAAAUACCACCCUGGUAAUGUUGAGGUUCUAACUCUGUCCCGUGAUCCGGGACGAGGACCGUGUCUGGUGGGUAGUUUGACUGGGGCGGUCUCCUCCUAAAGAGUAACGGAGGAGUACGAAGGUGCGCUCAGCGUGGUCGGAAAUCACGCGUAGAGUAUAAAGGCAAAAGCGCGCUUAACUGCGAGACCCACAAGUCGAGCAGGUACGAAAGUAGGUCUUAGUGAUCCGGUGGUUCUGUAUGGAAGGGCCAUCGCUCAACGGAUAAAAGGUACUCUGGGGAUAACAGGCUGAUACCGCCCAAGAGUUCAUAUCGACGGCGGUGUUUGGCACCUCGAUGUCGGCUCAUCUCAUCCUGGGGCUGAAGCAGGUCCCAAGGGUAUGGCUGUUCGCCAUUUAAAGAGGUACGCGAGCUGGGUUUAGAACGUCGUGAGACAGUUCGGUCCCUAUCUACCGUGGGCGCUGGAAAUUUGAGAGGAUCUGCUCCUAGUACGAGAGGACCAGAGUGGACGAACCUCUGGUGUACCGGUUGUGACGCCAGUCGCAUCGCCGGGUAGCUAUGUUCGGAAGGGAUAACCGCUGAAAGCAUCUAAGCGGGAAGCCUACCUCAAGAUAAGAUUUCCCUAGGACUUUAUGUCCUCUAAAGAGCCGUUCGAGACUAGGACGUUGAUAGGUUGGAUGUGGAAGCAUAGUGAUAUGUGAAGCUGACCAAUACUAAUUGCUCGUGAGGCUUGACUAUACAACACCCAAGCAGUUG